GUGCUCACGUCAGCAGCACAUAUGCUAAACCUGAACAAUACAGAGAAGGUUAGCAUGGCCCCUGCGCAAGGAUGACAUGCAAAUUCACGAAGCAGUCCAUAUUUAA